CUCUACUAUUGUCUGGACGAGGAUGUCUGUGACACAAAUAAUUAAUCCUGUUUGGUAAUUACUCGACGUUAAUAUCCAUGGCUUCUUGCUUUAUUUUACGUGGUUUGGGUACUCUCUAUCUCUAACUUAGAAGACAAAAGAGUGAGGAUUCGAUGAAUUUCGUUCGAAAAUGUACCUAAAUUCUGGUCCGGUCCAAUGCAACAUGGCUAACAAAAUAGUGAGAUAAGUUGAUUUUGGUAGGCCAAUGUAAGCCGUGUCCCCGUGAGAGUCACUUAUUUCAGCUAUCACUUUCGCCUUACAAUUCCUGAAAUGAGUUCUUAUGAUAUUUAUGAUGAAGGCGUGAAUGAAAUUGAUAUGGUAGAUAAACGAGGAAUUUGAUCA